rnacentral:lncRNA from 1 species
AUCGAGCCCCAGUACAGCCCAGUACAGCCCAGUACAGCCCAGUGCCACCAGUUCUAUCCCAGUACAGCCCAGUACAGCCCAGUGCCACCAGUUCUAUCCCAGUACAGCCCAGUGCCACCAGUUCUAUCCCAGUACAGCCAGUGCCACGCCAGUUCUAUCCCAGUUACAGCCCAGUUUACAGCCCAGUGCCACCAGUUCUAACCCAGUACAAGCCCAGUACAGCCCAGUGCCACCAGUUCUAUCCCAGUACAGUCCAGUGCCACCAGUUCUAUCCCAGUACAGCCCAGUGCCACCAGUUCUAUCCCAGUACAGCCCCAGUGCACCAGUUUCUAUCCCAGUACAGCCCAGUACAGCCCAGUGCCACCAGUUCUAUCCCAGUCUAUCCCAGUACCAGCCAGUACAGCCCAUUGCCACAGUUCUAUCCCAGCUAGCAGCCAGUACAGGCCCAUUGCCACCAGUUCUUCCCCAGACAAGCCAGUUACAGUACAGCCCAGUGCCACCCAGUCAUAUUCCCAGUACAGGCCCAGUGCUCCCAGUUCAUAUUCCAGUAACAGUCCAGUACAGCCCAGUGCUCCCAGUGUGCCACCAGUCUUUAUCCAGUACAGCCCAGUGCCCCGUCCAGUUCCCUCCCAGUCCUUCCCAGUAUGUCCCAGUCCCUCCAGUAUGUCUCAGUCCCUCCCAGUGCUCAGGAGGACCCUCUUGAGGGUCCUUUCUCCAGUGCCCCCAGCCCGGUGCCCCCAUCCAU